AUGAGGCGAACCGGGGGAACUGAAACAUCUAAGUACCCCGAGGAAAAGAAAUCAACCGAGAUUCCCCCAGUAGCGGCGAGCGAACGGGGAGGAGCCCAGAGCCUGAAUCAGUGUGUGUGUUAGUGGAAGCGUCUGGAAAGGCGCGCGAUACAGGGUGACAGCCCCGUACACAAAAAUGCACAUGCUGUGAGCUCGAUGAGUAGGGCGGGACACGUGGUAUCCUGUCUGAAUAUGGGGGGACCAUCCUCCAAGGCUAAAUACUCCUGACUGACCGAUAGUGAACCAGUACCGUGAGGGAAAGGCGAAAAGAACCCCGGCGAGGGGAGUGAAAAAGAACCUGAAACCGUGUACGUACAAGCAGUGGGAGCACAGAGCAAUCUGUGUGACUGCGUACCUUUUGUAUAAUGGGUCAGCGACUUAUAUUCUGUAGCAAGGUUAACCGAAUAGGGGAGCCGAAGGGAAACCGAGUCUUAACUGGGCGUUAAGUUGCAGGGUAUAGACCCGAAACCCGGUGAUCUAGCCAUGGGCAGGUUGAAGGUUGGGUAACACUAACUGGAGGACCGAACCGACUAAUGUUGAAAAAUUAGCGGAUGACUUGUGGCUGGGGGUGAAAGGCCAAUCAAACCGGGAGAUAGCUGGUUCUCCCCGAAAGCUAUUUAGGUAGCGCCUCGUGAAUUCAUCUCCGGGGGUAGAGCACUGUUUCGGCAAGGGGGUCAUCCCGACUUACCAACCCGAUGCAAACUGCGAAUACCGGAGAAUGUUAUCACGGGAGACACACGGCGGGUGCUAACGUCCGUCGUGAAGAGGGAAACAACCCAGACCGCCAGCUAAGGUCCCAAAGUCAUGGUUAAGUGGGAAACGAUGUGGGAAGGCCCAGACAGCCAGGAUGUUGGCUUAGAAGCAGCCAUCAUUUAAAGAAAGCGUAAUAGCUCACUGGUCGAGUCGGCCUGCGCGGAAGAUGUAACGGGGCUAAACCAUGCACCGAAGCUGCGGCAGCGACGCUGAUGCGUUGUUGGGUAGGGGAGCGUUCUGUAAGCCUGUGAAGGUGUGCUGUGAGGCAUGCUGGAGGUAUCAGAAGUGCGAAUGCUGACAUAAGUAACGAUAAAGCGGGUGAAAAGCCCGCUCGCCGGAAGACCAAGGGUUCCUGUCCAACGUUAAUCGGGGCAGGGUGAGUCGACCCCUAAGGCGAGGCCGAAAGGCGUAGUCGAUGGGAAACAGGUUAAUAUUCCUGUACUUGGUGUUACUGCGAAGGGGGGACGGAGAAGGCUAUGUUGGCCGGGCGACGGUUGUCCCGGUUUA
rnacentral:rRNA from 1 species